GGCUUGAGCCCCGGUAAGCCCGUAUAUUAAGACGGCGGUGCCGGGAGAGUGUGUAUUGUCAGAACGGGACCGACGUGUAGGCUGUCAUGUGUCGCGGCCAUGUCACGACAAGAAUUUAUGACUCUCAAUCGUCUAACCUGACAUAGUGACCAUCGUAACCAUCAAAAAUAUCCUGUAGUCUGAAUCUGCCAAGCCAGAGCAAAGUCAGUCCGUCAGGUCUGUGUGUAUCGGAGUGAAGGAGAGUAAAGUUAGUUCAGGAGUGGGACCAGGUGUGAGAUGUCUGUGUGUGUGAGAGUGAGUGUGACACUGAGAAAGACAGAAAGUAAAUACAUGAAAAAUGACAAACCUUAAAAAAUAUUUUCAUCCCUGUUUCAACCCCUCUUUCAGCUGAUUCCAUCCACAAUUUAUUUUGUGGCUGACGGAGGGGAUGUGGUGCUGCCCGGCCCCACUGGCUACGUUGACCGUAUCAAUGUAGGCAGCCGAUAUGAGGUCUGCGGGGGGAGGGCCCUGCAUCCCAGGCAGCUGAAACUGUACCCUCAAGACAGCCUGGAACUUUUCAGUUCCAGGCGAGGCCUGCAGCAUCUCUUGGUCAUGCUGGACCUCCACCCCCACGAGCAGCGCGACUGUUCACAAGGAACAUACUAAUCGGAAGGGUGGAGAGGGGAAACCUCCAAGUUGAUGGGGCAAC